rnacentral:rRNA from 1 species
UACGAAGGGGGCUAGCGUUGCUCGGAAUGACUGGGCGUAAAGGGCGCGUAGGCGGCCACCGCAAGUCGGUUGUGAAAUCUCUGGGCUUAACCCGGAAAGGUCAAUCGAUACUGCAGGGCUAGAGUGCAGAAGGGGCAACUGGAAUUCUCGGUGUAGCGGUGAAAUGCGUAGAUAUCUGGAGGAAUACCGGUGGCGAAGGCGGCAUCCUGGACCGGCAUUGACGCUGAGGAGCGAAAGCCAGGGGAGCAAACGGGG